AUAUUUAUUGCGUUUAUAGCAUGUAAUACAUUCUUAACUGUAGUGUGUAUAAAAUACGUAGAGACCGGUUCACCGUUAGGCUCCCCAAUCCUACAAUAGUGCACAGGUGUGUGUGGAUGAGCAAUGAGUGUGCACAUGCCUCGGAAGGCCAGCUACAACCCAUGUCAAACUCGUUAAUGAUCCUUCCGCAGGUUCACCUACGGAAA
rnacentral:misc_RNA from 1 species